GGUUCCAUAGUGUAGCGGUUAGCACGUCUGCUUUACACGCAGAAGGUCCUGCGUUCAUGCCCCAGUGGAGCCA
rnacentral:tRNA from 1 species